AUUGAACGCUGGCGGCAGGCCUAACACAUGCAAGUCGAGCGGAUGAAGGGAGCUUGCUCCUGGAUUCAGCGGCGGACGGGUGAGUAAUGCCUAGGAAUCUGCCUGGUAGUGGGGGAUAACGUCCGGAAACGGGCGCUAAUACCGCAUACGUCCUGAGUGAGAAAGUGGGGGAUCUUCGGACCUCACGCUAUCAGAUGAGCCUAGGUCGGAUUAGCUAGUUGGUGGGGUAAAGGCCUACCAAGGCGACGAUCCGUAACUGGUCUGAGAGGAUGAUCAGUCACACUGGAACUGGGACACGGUCCAGACUCCUACGGGAGGCAGCAGUGGGGAAUAUUGGACAGUGGGCGAAAGCCUGAUCCAGCCAUGCCGCGUGUGUGAAGAAGGUCUUCGGAUUGUAAAGCACUUUAAGUUGGGAGGAAGGGCAGUAAGUUAAUACCUUGCUGUUUUGACGUUACCAACAGAAUAAGCACCGGCUAACUUCGUG
rnacentral:rRNA from 1 species